rnacentral:rRNA from 1 species
AGAGCGAACGCUGGCGGCAGGCCUAACACAUGCAAGUCGAGCGCCCCGCAAGGGGAGCGGCAGACGGGAGAGUAACACGUGGGAACGUACCCUUCAGUACGGAACAACCAAGGGAAACUUUGGCUAAUACCGUAUACGUCCGUAAGGAGAAAGAUUUAUCGCUGAAGGAUCGGCCCGCGUCUGAUUAGCUUGUUGGUGAGGUAACGGCUCACCAAGGCUACGAUCAGUAGCUGGUCUGAGAGGAUGAUCAGCCUCACUGGGACUGAGACACGGCCCAGACUCCUACGGGAGGCAGCAGUGGGGAAUAUUGGACAAUGGGCGCAAGCCUGAUCCAGCCAUGCCGCGUGGGUGAUGGAAGGCCCUAGGGUUGUAAAGCCCUUUCGGCGGGGAAGAUAAGUGACGGUACCGCAGAAGAAGCCCGGCUAACUCGUGCCAGCAGCCGC